rnacentral:rRNA from 1 species
AUUGAACGCUGGCGGCAUGCCUUACACAUACAAGUCGAACGGCAGCACGGGGCAACCUGGUGGCGAGUGGCGAACGGGUGAGUAAUGCAUCGGAACGUACCUUUCAGUGGGGGAUAACGUAGCGAAAGUUACGCUAAUACCGCAUAUUCUGUGAGCAGGAAAGCAGGGGAUCGCAAGACCUUGCGCUGAUUGAGCGGCCGAUGUCAGAUUAGCUAGUUGGUGAGGUAAAGGCUCACCAAGGCGACGAUCUGUAGCGGGUCUGAGAGGAUGAUCCGCCACACUGGAACUGAGACACGGUCCAGACUCCUACGGGAGGCAGCAGUGGGGAAUUUUGGACAAUGGGGGCAACCCUGAUCCAGCCAUACCGCGUGAGUGAAGAAGGCCUUCGGGUUGUAAAGCUCUUUCGGCCGGGAAGAAAUCGCACGGGCUAAUACCCUGUGUGGAUGACGGUACCGGAAUAAGAAGCACCGGCUAACUACGUGCCAGCCGCCGCGGUAAGAC